GGGAUCAUUACCGAGUUUACAACUCCCAAACCCCUGUGAACAUACCUAUUUGUUGCCUCGGCGGUGCCUGUUCCGACAGCCCGCCAGAGGACCCCAAACCCUGAUUACAUUUAAGAAGUCUUCUGAGUAAACCGAUUAAAUAAAUCAAAACUUUCAACAACGGAUCUCUUGGUUCUGGCAUCGAUGAAGAACGCAGCGAAAUGCGAUAAGUAAUGUGAAUUGCAGAAUUCAGUGAAUCAUCGAAUCUUUGAACGCACAUUGCGCCCGCUAGUAUUCUGGCGGGCAUGCCUGUCCGAGCGUCAUUUCAACCCUCAAGCCCCCGGGCUUGGUGUUGGGGAUCGGCGAGCCUCCGCGCCCGCCGUCCCCUAAAUCUAGUGGCGGUCUCGCUGUAGCUUCCUCUGCGUAGUAGCACACCUCGCACUGGGAAACAGCGCGGCCACGCCGUUAAACCCCCAACUUCUGAACGUUGACCUCGGAUCAG
rnacentral:rRNA from 1 species